UGGGGAAUAUUGCACAAUGGGGGAAACCCUGAUGCAGCAACGCCGCGUGAAGGAUGACGGUUUUCGGAUUGUAAACUUCUUUUCUUAGUGACGAAGACAGUGACGGUAGCUAAGGAAUAAGCAUCGGCUAACUACGUGCCAGCAGCCGCGGUAAUACGUAGGAUGCAAGCGUUAUCCGGAUUUACUGGGUGUAAAGGGAGCGCAGGCGGGACUGCAAGUUGGAUGUGAAAUACCGUGGCUUAACCACGGAACUGCAUCCAAAACUGUAGUUCUUGAGUGAAGUAGAGGCAAGCGGAAUUCCGAGUGUAGCGGUGAAAUGCGUAGAUAUUCGGAGGAACACCAGUGGCGAAGGCGGCUUGCUGGGCUUUAACUGACGCUGAGGCUCGAAAGUGUGGGGAGCAAACAGGAUUAGAUACCCUGGUAGUCCCUGA
rnacentral:rRNA from 1 species